AUUUUUUACUGCUUUGAUGGACAAUCAUGUAGCUUAUAAUGGGCUUAAAAAGGAAUUUAUGAACUUAAAGAGGAGCUGUCAUGUUUGAUAAGAACAUGCCUAACACAUGCAAGUACCUAUUACAGUGGGUGACCAAUUUAUUCCACAUAUGUGUCACACGUGGCUGGGUCCAUCUGUUCCGCAUUGACGAAAUGGAUUGGACUCUAACUUGAAGCGUGGCGUUGUGGAAUUCUUUUUUCGUUUUGUGUUUUCUAAUGGAAUAGUGAUAUCCCAGGACACUGCAC